ensembl:snRNA U6 U6 spliceosomal RNA
GUGCUUGCUCCAGCAGCACACAUACUAAAACUGGAAUGAUCUUAGAGAAGAUUAGCAUGGCCCUGUAUGAGGAUGACUUGCAAAUUCGUGAAGCAUUACACAUUUUG